AGUGAACGCUGGCGGUAGGCCUAACACAUGCAAGUCGAACGGCAGCACAGUAAGAGCUUGCUCUUACGGGUGGCGAGUGGCGGACGGGCGAGGAAUACAUCGGAAUCUACUUUUUCAUGGGGGAUAACGUAGGGAAACUUACGCUAAUACCGCAUACGACCUACGGGUGAAAGCAGGGGAUCUUCGGACCUUGCGCGAUUGAAUGAGCCGAUGUCGGAUUAGCUAGUUGGCGGGGUAAAGGCCCACCAAGGCGACGAUCCGUAGCUGGUCUGAGAGGAUGAUCAGCCACACUGGAACUGAGACACGGUCCAGACUCCUACGGGAGGCAGCAGUGGGGAAUAUUGGACAAUGGGCGCAAGCCUGAUCCAGCCGUACCGCGUGGGUGAAGAAGGCCUUCGGGUUGUAAAGCCCUUUUGUUGGGAAAGAAAAGCAGCAGGUUAAUACCCCGCUGUUCUGACGGUACCCAAAGAAUAAGCACCGGCUAACUUCGUG
rnacentral:rRNA from 1 species